GGGGCAGCAUGGCUCAGGAGGUAUAGCGGCUAGGCUAGAAAUCAAAAGGUUCCUGGUUCGAUCCCCGGCUCCUCCA